GCAAACUUGGUCAUUUAGAGGAAGUAAAAGUCGUAACAAGGUUUCCGUAGGUGAACCUGCGGAAGGAUCAUUAAUGAAUAAAUAAACCAGGUGGUGAGUUGUAGCUGGCUCUUCGGAGCAUGUGCACGCUCAUCAUCAUUUAUUCAUCCACCUGUGCACAAUCUGUAGACUUGAGAGAGAUUAGAGUGACUGACCUUUAUCAAUCGACAACCUUGUCGGAUGUUAGGAUUGCUUAUUUAUUGGGCUAUCCUUUACUUGAAGUAAAGUCAUGACUUUCCCUUGAGUCUAUGUAUUUAUAAACUACAUAGUAUGUCGCAGAAUGUAAUAGAUGGGCCUUUGUGCCUAUAUAAAAUCUAUACAACUUUCAGCAACGGAUCUCUUGGCUCUCGCAUCGAUGAAGAACGCAGC
rnacentral:misc_RNA from 1 species